CAAACUUAUCAAAAUGUGUUCACCAAGGGCCUAGAGAGAUGCCUCCGCAGUUAAGAGCACAGGCUGCUCUUCCAGAGGACCUGGGUUCAAUUCCCAGCUUCUGUCUGACAGCUCACAAGUGUGUGUAACUCCAGUUCCAGGGGCUCUGACUCUUCAGAACCCAGGGGAUUCUGGCUAACCUUUAUGAGCACUGCAUGGAUUGCGUGCACAGUCAUACCUGCAGGCCAGACACCUAGACACAGAAACUUCAGUUGUUCUGUUUUGUUUUUCAAGGGAGGGGUUCUCGGUGUAGCCCUGGCUGUUCUGGAACUUGCUCUAUAGAACAGGCUGGCCUCGAACUCACAGAGAUCUGCCUGCCUCCCGAGUAGUGAGAUUAAAGGCGUGCAUCGCCACUGCCCAACCACAUAAACUCUUAAAAAAUAAUAAAAAUUUUUUGUUUACCAAAUAACUAAUAACAGGAGGGUUGUCAAUGGCCAAGUGACUGAGGAAGCCACCAUGUCCCUGAAUCUAAGGUAUGCAGAGGUCAGUGGAAAUAAGAAAAAUUAGAAGAAAGGAUCCUAGAAUGUGGGGGCUCCUGAUCUACUUGAGGGAGCACACAAAGCAAAUCAUCUUGGCAAAUACAGGUGCUGGGACGGACACACGGGUGGCCUACAAAGGGCUUGGUAUAGGCAGAGCGAGCUGGCAGCCUGGGUUCCGAACUUUUUCAUCCUUUCCGUCCUGUCCUGACUUUAUUCCCACUGUCCCCUUUUCUGGGUGUGAAUUCUGUUUCCAGACAAGCUUGGAUGGGCAGCAAUUCAAAAACUUAUCUGGACCUUGGAAUCCAAGGCAAGAAUGUACUUAGGGUCACUUUCUUCUUCUGCAUGCUGGGAGGAGUUAAUGGCCUGUCCACGUGACCUUCAGAUGGCUAUGAAAAUGAUCCCCACUCUCCUCAUCUACUCCACCCAAAACCCCCGCCCCACCCCACUGCACCCACAUCCUGUUUCCUAGUGAUCUUUGCCCAGGGAGAGAUCAACCCAUCCCUCCUCAUUCCCUGGACCUUCUAUUCUAGAAUCUCCCAGAGCUUGUGACCUGACCCAGCCCCACCCUCUCUUGUACAAAUACUCCCCUGGGGGAGACAGAUCCUAAGCCUUGCUGUCCCUGGCUCUGCACUCUCAGGUGUUGCGUGUGUCACUUCCUGCACUUGCCCCAUAAAGAUGGAUCCAGGUAAGUAGCAUGGAUAGGAGGUUAGGAGGUAGAAGAGGGGAAAGAAGAGGAAGGAGAGUGGGGAGGGCAGAGACAAGCAGUCAGCCAUAUCUACUGAAUGCCAAGUGUGCUUGGAUGUGUGUGUACAGGUGUGCGUGCAGGCUUCCAUAAUACAAACAACUUUCAUAUUGUGAAGCACACAUUAUAGUUGAAGAAACAAGCAUGUGAGUUUUUCAUCUCACUAGCUCUUCAACUUGAGGAGACAAAAAGGAGGGUUCAUCUCCCAGGGGACAAAUGAGGCCAGGGAUGUCAGGCAUGAUGCUCAAAGUGAGGUCAUGAAAAGCACUGUCAGGUCUGGAGCCCAGAGCCCAGCCGCUGUGCCACUGGAUCCCCUCAAAAGAAGCAAAAGAACGGGGGCUGAAGAGAUGGCUUAGAGAUUAAAACCUUUGCCUGUUCUUCCAAAGGUCCUGAGUUCAAUUCCCAGCAACUAUAUGGUGGCUCACAACCAUCUGUAAUGAGAUCUGGUGCUCUCUUCUGGCUUGCAUACUUACACACAGAUAGAAUAUUAUAUACAUAAUAAAUAAAUAAUUUUUUUUAAAAAAAGAAGCUUAAAAAAAAAGAAGCAAAAGACCUAAAACUCCCAUCAAGGUUACCUUUUGGGAUACCCAGUACCACAUAGGUGGCUUCUGCAGAAUGAACUGUUGUGUCCACUCUGGGGAUCUCCGCACCCCAGUGAUGAGGAACACCUGCUGGAUAGUGAGGUAGAGCCAUGCUAGAGAGAUUUCCAGGCAGCAGACAGUGUGAGCAAAGGCCCUGAGCUGAGAGCAGAAGGUUGUGACCAGGAUGUAACAGCAGCCACCACACAGCUCUGAGGGGCUAUAGUGGGAUGGACAGGCAUGAGUGGGGGAGACUGCCUGGGGCCCAGGUGGAGACAGAGGAGGAAGAAUUGGGGUUUGCCACAAUAGAAUGUCUCCCUGAUGCCCUGAAAUCUGACCAAGGCUAGGAUAGCAGACCCCUGGCAGUGUGGACAAAAGCCUCACCUUCUACCUGGCCUGAUGCCACCUGGGGGACUCAGUCAGCCCUUGAGCCCAUAGGGACACACAAGUGAGCUUCAUAUUGACUUCCAAUACAAAUCUGCUGUUGUGGACGGAUGAAGGAUGGAAAGUUUGUUAGGCAGGUGACCUGUUCUGAGGAGCCUUGUUGAGGGUGGGGUGUGGACAUAGAGCUAGCAUCAGGGAGAAGGCAAG